rnacentral:rRNA from 1 species
AGCGAACGCUGGCGGCAUGCUUAACACAUGCAAGUCGCACGGUCGGGUUUCGGCCCGGCAGUGGCGGACGGGUGAGUAACGCGUAGGUAUCUAUCCUUGGAUGGGGGACAACCGUGGGAAACUACGGCUAAUACCGCAUGACGACCGAGGUCCAAAGGCCGCGAGGCCGUCUGGGGAGAGCCUGCGUCCGAUUAGCUAGUUGGUGGGGUAACGCCUACCAAGGCGGUGAUCGGUAGCUGGCUGAGA